rnacentral:rRNA from 1 species
UUGAGAGUUUGAUCCUGGCUCAGAACGAACGCUAUCGGUAUGCUUAACACAUGCAAGUCGAACGGACUAAUUGGGCUUGUUCCAAUUAGUUAGUGGCAGACGGGUGAGUAACACGUGGGAAUCUGCCCAUCAGUACGGAAUAACUUUUAGAAAUAAAAGCUAAUACCGUAUAUUCUCUACGGAGGAAAGAUUUAUCGCUGAUGGAUGAGCCCGCGUCAGAUUAGGUAGUUGGUGAGGUAACGGCUCACCAAGCCGACGAUCUGUAGCUGGUCUGAGAGGAUGAUCAGCCACACUGGGACUGAGACACGGCCCAGACUCCUACGGGAGGCAGCAGUGGGGAAUAUUGGACAAUGGGCGAAAGCCUGAUCCAGCAAUACCGAGUGAGUGAUGAAGGCCUUAGGGUUGUAAAGCUCUUUUAGCAAGGAAGAUAAUGACGUUAC